rnacentral:tRNA from 1 species
GACCGCUUAGCUCAGUUGGCAGAGCAUUGCCAUUGGGCUAGUAUUCCAAAGGUCGCGGUAGGUUCGAUUCCCACACCGUGGUCA